rnacentral:lncRNA from 1 species
CACCGCCCCUUCCGCCGCCGCAGCCGCCGCGUCCUCCCGCCCGCCGGUAGCCGCGGCUCUGGCACGGACCGCCGCUGAUGCUCCCCCGGGCUGCACGGAUCCUCUGGACUCCUCUCGCUUCUUUUUUCUUUUCUUUUUUUAAGUUCUAAACUCGCAGUACUUGGGGGCGAGCCGGCGAGAUCUCGCGAGAUGCUGCAGGGCCUGUGGGCGGUUUCCCUUAGGGCGCGUGGUACCCAGGCCCCGCGGCGCUCUGGCUGCGGGUGAUGCUGGGGGCUUUCCUGUUGGGCCCGCGCGCGCUUCCGGAGGCGCUGGCCCACGCGCGCUCCCGGCGAGCCCGGCUCGCUCCCGACCGGGCUCUCCCAGCGGGAGAGCUCCGUGCUCCCGUUUGAGAUUUGCAUAACCAAAGAGUAAUUCCAGCCGCGAUGCGGUGGGUGUGUCAACCCUUGGGUGGCGCCUUUAUUUUAAAAGCUGGUGUUAGAAGGACUACUAGGUGCUCACUCUAAAGACUGAGGCAGAAGGAUCUUGAGUUCCAGAACAACCUGACCAAUACAGCGAGACCUUCACAUAACAAAACAGAGCUUCAUGGGUACUAAUACACCAUGGUUUCUGAAGAUGGCUCUUCCUCAUCCUGGGACGACUUGAUCAGCAAAAGAUAUUUUCAUUUUCAGAUCUUAGAACUAAUGGUCAAGAAAGAAAGAAAGAAAGAAAGAAAGAGAGAGAGAGAGAGAGAAAGAAAGAAAGAGAAAAAAGAAAUAAAAAACAAAAACGAAGAAUAAAAAAAGAUGAAAGAAAAGAAAGAAAGAAAUAGAAAGAAAGAAAGAAAGAAAGAAAGAAAGAAAGAAAGAAAGAAAGAAAGAAAGAAAGAAAGAAAGAAAGAACUAAUGGUCUAAGGAUAUGCUUUCUGGAGUUUAUUAGCCUUACUCCCAUCCCUAGGUGGUACACAUCUGUAGUCCCAGCUAUUCAGGGGAAGUGGGAUCCUCAGAGUUCAAGGCUAUUCAGGACAAGAGAGAGAGACUUGGUCUCAGGAACUAUGCCUCUUGCAAAGAAUAGCCUUUAGCAAUUAUUUAUGCAUCUUCUGAAUUGCCUGCUGAUGCCUGUAAUAGACAUUUGCUAUGUCCUGAAAGUCUGGCUUCAAUCCUGUUUUCUAAUUUUUUUUUUUUUUUUUUUUUUUUUUUUUUUUUGGCUUUUCAUGGUAGGGUUUCUCUGUGUAGCCGUGGCAGUCCUGGAAUUCACUCUGUAGACCAGGUUGGCCUCGAACUCAGAAAUCCACCUGCUUCUGCCUCCCAAGUGCUGGAAUUAAAGGUGUGAGCCACCACGCCCGGAGUUUCUAAUCCAUCCUGUUUUCAUGUAAAUUUAUAAAUGCUUCUUUAGUUCUUAUUCUUGUUUAUUUGCUUUUGUUCCCCACUUAUUCAGUGGGGUGGAUGAUUACCUCUGUGUAUAGUUUUGGACGAACAGAAAUUAAAACCCUGCCCCAUCCAAAUGGUGAGCACAUCACCAAAAUGUGCCAACCUCUUUGUCAUGUUUUGAAGUCUGGGUGGGUGGUAGGAUGCAAAAAUAAGACAAUAAGUCAAUUUGCUGUAACUGUUACCUCUUCCUAACUUACCAUCUCCUUGAUUGAGAACUGCUGUGCUUGGGGUGGUCCAAUGUGGGCAACUGGCUAGCUGAGAGAGAAUACAAAGACCUUGGCUGCCUG